AUAGGGCAACAGAAAAAAAUAAAUGAUUAAGUCCAAAUUUCGUGUGUUACCAGGAUAUUUACUGAAGAGCUGCACCAAUGGAAAGCCCAUUGCAGUAGGGAUAAGGACUCAACAACCACAUCACUGGACCUCCUGCGCUACCCGAAGCUCAAAACUGAAAGCAUUCCAAAGCUGAGUGAUGCUAGCACAACUUGAAGACAGUCCCCAUGAGCCAACUGAAGAGACCCUCAGAGAGAAGAGAUUCCCAAAUUGUGCCGGAUACUCAGAGAUUAGAGCAUGGUUGGCCAAUGGAAUGUCUCAAGUCCACCAGCUUUAUGGAAUCCCUCAUUUUGUUUUAAAAUACAAAAUGGAAAAAAAUCUCAGGGUCAAUAGAGAAUAA
rnacentral:lncRNA from 1 species